UACAGAGGGGGCCAGCGUUAUUCGGAAUUAUUGGGCGUAAAGAGCUUGUAGGCGGUCUGUCGCGUCUGCUGUGAAAAUCCGGGGCUCAACCCCGGACUUGCAGUGGGUACGGGCAGACUAGAGUGUGGUAGGGGAAACUGGAAUUCCUGGUGUAGCGGUGAAAUGCGCAGAUAUCAGGAGGAACACCGAUGGCGAAGGCAGGUCUCUGGGCCACUACUGACGCUGAGAAGCGAAAGCAUGGGGAGCGAACAGG
rnacentral:rRNA from 1 species